UCAUGCUGCUCCCAAGUCAGGGGUGAGGCAGCGUCUAAUAAGUUGCCUCUGCCCUGGACGAAACCGUUUGCCGUCUUUAUCAUGCACUUUUCUGACAUUGCGCUAAACCCAAAAAGAGGGAUCCUUGGACCACAAAAGUGGAAGCUAGCUGAUCUCCAUUGGAUUCGGCCUGGUAUCAAGUGGUUGAGAAAAAUUAGUUUUUGUUGACAGUAAUUGAAAAUCAUGAGGGUCGAAACCAAACCAUUCGCAUUGAUUAUCUCGGAUAUGUUCUUGGUUUCAGAGUAGGCAACGUCCGAAAAGAUAUAGUAAAAGAGUCUGAUUGCAAAUCGAAAAGCCUCUGAAAACGGCUAAAUAGCUCUGCUAAGGUAAUGUCGAGGUAUAUUGAAAUAUUUGGAAACUUUUAUUUAUUUUUAGAUCAGUAUAUCAGAAACGAAAGAAGAACGAAGAAAGGCAUUUUAGUGAGUUUUUAUUGAAGGGCGCGUAGUUCUCUACGAAUGGAAAAGUUGGUGGUAGGAAGAAAAAGUCGUUCACCAUUUCCCUUUCACUGAUCUAUGCAUGCCAUACUCAUACCAAUGAUUACCAGGCCUAUCUAAGUCCUUUGUCGUUUUGGAUAUCUGGAAGGACGCGCAAUUUUGCGUCAGUUAGUCAGCUCGAGAUUCCCAUAAGGAAUACAACUACAAAUUACCGGACUGGAAACGAAAAUCUUGCUAUUCGAAGUAUCACGCAGUUUAUUGUGGUACCAAAUCAAACCUUCUAUCAAUCAUCAAUUGAGCCUUUUACGACUUGACGCACGUUUACGUUCAUUGGAAAAAAGUACAAGAGAAAAGGAAAUGAUUUUCCCACAAAUUGAGUGAUUCAGUGAGCGAGGUAAGAAUCUAAGCUAAUUGGAUAAAAUGGAUAACAAUUUUUGACUAAUAAAAGAGAUGACUGGCAAAUCUAGCAGAAUAGAUAAGCGCUCUAUAUGUGACUGUCAAGGGCUUGAUAUGAAAUGCAAGUUAAAAGUAUAGGAACUGCGCAUCAAAAAAAAAUUCCUUGAUGAUAGAGAAACAUGCGAUAAAAUUAGCAACUUUGAAGCUUCACCUUUUAUUACUGCCAUAAUUAACAAUAAAAGCAAUAAAUUAUCUGGCUCAGAUGAGCUGAAUCAUGAGGUAUGAAGGACGAUUGUUGUGUAACCCAAAGGACCCUCUAGUUGUAAUACUAUGUAUCUAAUGAUUUAUUGAAAUUGGAUAGGAAUAUCCCUUAACUGUUCGGGGGUCGAAAUUAAAUGAAGGGAAAUAAACAAAUCGCACUUCAUGAAGUCAUCGAAAAUUUGGUUCUUUGAUUUACAUUUGCGAGUUGUGGGGGCGUUAUCAUUAUUUGUCGUUCAAAAGAUAAAUACUGCAGUAUCGAGAUAUAAAUUCAAGUUUAAAUUUGGGCCCAUUUACCUCUAAUUAAUGCAUGUACUUUGUUUUGUAAUUACCUACAUAAUUAACACUUGAAAAGCGACGGAAUUAUUAUGAAAUUUGGUUCCAACUUGGAGUGAUUUAAACAUAAAAUUGUAAACCAGAAGACAAUGAAUAAUUCAAUUUUAAAAUCACUCAAAUCACAAGAAAACAUUCCAAUCAAUACCCGAAAAAGUAGCACCUUGCCUCUUCAGAAAAAACACGAAUAAUACAAUAUUAUUGUUUUUUCAUCUAUCACAUAGCCAUAUAAAAUUGAAUUUCUUGUCACUUUUUUUUUCGAGUCAAAUAUUAUCCUUAAUUGUGCCAUUUUCAAAAUCUUUUCUCAAAGUGUUGUUUCUAUUUAAAAUAAUACUUUUCAACUUCCUUAAACAAAUAAUUGGACGGUGUAAACCUAUUGCCUGUAUUGUUCAUAUGUCUGCAACUUCAUCUCUACUGCAUGAUAACAAAGAGGAUGGAGAGCAUAAUUUAUAAGCAGGCGUAAAGUAAAAAUGAUGUUAAAUCUA